rnacentral:rRNA from 1 species
AUGUUUGUCUAUGUCCAACAUUUCACUAUAUGUAGCACUGAAUGUAGGGCCUGUUUGGAUACAAUGGCUAUGCAAGCAGUGACAGUGGAUUGGGUUGUUAAUUCUUCGGGUUUAGGAUUUAUUCUGACUCUAUUAGGAUUUCAGUUAUAUUUGUUCCAAUGUGGGUUAAAACUCCUUAUUAUUUCAGUAAAGUGCAUGCCCUUGGUUUUCCCCAUUGACCUUUAUUGCUCUGAAUUUGGCCACCUGGGUAGUGUAGCAGUACUUGUUACAUGCAGAGUGUUAGAAAUCAGCACUAAUUCCGAAUUUUUUCCAUCGUUGCUGCUUAGCACUCACAUUUCUUCGCUGAAGGAUAGAAUAUGGAGUAAUAGAAGCUUUGGGAAAGGGCUGGAGCUCUAG